rnacentral:rRNA from 1 species
AUUGAACGCUGGCGGAAUGCUUUACACAUGCAAGUCGAACGGCAGCACGGACUUCGGUCUGGUGGCGAGUGGCGAACGGGUGAGUAAUGUAUCGGAACGUGCCCAGUCGUGGGGGAUAACGUAGUGAAAAUUACGCUAAUACCGCAUACGAUCUAUGGAUGAGAGCGGGGGAUCGCAAGACCUCGCGCGAUUGGAGCGGCCGAUAACAGAUGAGGUAGUUGGUGGGGUAAAGGACCACCAAGCCAACGAUCUGUAGCUGGUCUGAGAGGACGACCAGCCACACUGGAACUGAGACACGGUCCAGACUCCUACGGGAGGCAGCAGUGGGGAAUUUUGGACAAUGGGCGAAAGCCUGAUCCAGCCAUUCCGCGUGCAGGAUGAAGGCCCUCGGGUUGUAAACUGCUUUUGUACAGAACGAAAAGGUUUCUACUAAUACUAGGAGCUCAUGACGGUACUGUAAGAAUAAGCACCGGCUAACUACGUGCCAGCAGCCGCCGCAG